rnacentral:rRNA from 1 species
UCUGGAGGUGGCGACCGGCGCACGGGUGAGUAACACGUAUGACAACCUGCCUGUAAGCGGGGAAGUAACCCGUUGAAAGACGGACUAAUACCGCAUAAUACUAAAUUACUGCAUGGUAAUUUAUUUAAACAUUUAUGGCUUACAGAUGGGCAUGCGCAUGAUUAGCUAGUUGGAGAGGUAACGGCUACCCCAAGGCAACGAUCAUUAGGGGUUCUGAGAGGAAGGUCCCCCCACACUGGUACUGAGACACGGACCAGACUCCUACGGGGGGCAGCAGUGAGGAAUAUUGGUCAAUGGACGAGAGUCUGAACCAGCCAAGUCGCGUGCAGGAAGAAUGUUCCCUAUGGAUUGUAAACUGCUUUUGCAAGGGGAAUAAAGUGCAUCACGUGUGAUGUUUUGGUAUGUACUCUGCGAAUAAGGAUCGGCUAACUCCGUGCCAGCCGCCGC